AAGGACGCUAACCGCUCUGGGGACAGGGACUUUGGUGAGACAAGAGUUCGCUGCCCUGAGCCAAAGAGGGUGGCGGAGGUUAGAAGGAGAACGUCACCGGGGAAACGAACUUGCGCCCAAAGCGCACGAGCCGGCGGACAGAGCUCAGCGCCCCUGUUCAGUGCUCGCCAUGGCGCCCAAAGGCUCGCGGACAGAACGAAUUGCAGGCUAAUCUGGGUAAAUCUAAGACCCCGCAGAGCACAGCCCACCAGCCUCCGCUUCCACCAUGUCUUUCGGGAUGCACAGCGAGCCCUGCGCGCGCACUGUCCCAGCCACGCGGCCCGCCGGUGGAAAGCGGAUGCCGGCGAAGUAACAGGUUACCGCUCCCGGUCGCACCCGCUGCAGCCGCUACCUAGACGCGUUUGGGAGACCCGGGCGCUCCAAGCCCAGACGCGCACGGGAAAACCGCUCCUGUGUCACUUGGGCGCCAACCUCAGCUCCGAUCUUCGAGGAGACUCCAGUUAUUGCUUUCCCUUGAUCCCUUUCUCGUGAUGGCCCCAGAUCUGCGACCCCCCCGCAUCGUUCCCUUGAGCCAAAUCGUUCUGGGUGGUGUCCUCGCUGGCUCUCUACGGAGCCAGGGCUUCUUGUGAAAGCAAAGGAGACCAACGAGGGGGACCACUCAGACCAUGGAAUCUCCAUCGACUCAUCCCAGUUUCCUCAUUCAGUUCCAGGCACCCUGAAAUACCUUGUCCAAACACAGCUACCUGGUACCACCAGCGGGAGGGAAAGUGAUUUUUCUCCCAGUUGCGGUGCAACAGACUCUGGUUAUUUAUGCGCACGUCUGGAUCCUAGCUGUAUCUCAGGCCUGUCCCUUUUCUGUGAAAAUCUUAUCGAUUUUCAUUACGACACAGCGGAAACGCCAAAAAAAUCGUAUAAAUCACCAAAAUUUUCAUAAGGGAGAUCGAAGAUUCGGCUCUCGGAGGAUGUAGUCUGAUCAACACAAGAGACCUGGUAUGGAGGCUUCAAAUAACAAUGCUGCUUGUUACCAAAGAAAAUACUGUUGCCGUCUUUCCGUCUUACAAUAAAAGC